CUCCCGAGCCCAGAUUUGUUCCUCUCUCUUCCACCGGCCAUAUCUCCCUCCACAGACCUCCGAUCGACUUGAUUCCAAAAGUAUUUUCAUUCGUCUUGAAGUCAGUUAAAACUUCCUAGAAGACAUCAAAGUGAGAAAAGAACCAUGGAAGGUGCUAGGAGGCCGAGAAGCUGCACAGCUCGAGCUGGAAUUCGCCCGAUGCUGCUCUUCCUUCACCGGCCGAUAUCUCUCUCAUCCAACCUCGAAUCGAGUUGAUUCCAAAAGGGAUUUUGCUGGGCCUGAGCUAUAUUACAACUUUGUAGAAGACAUCGAGGGGAAAUAACCAACGUGGUAGCCGCUACAAGUCGAAGAACACGGUGCAGUCGAGCUGGAAAUCACCUCCUUUCCCCACCGUCGUUCUCCCUCCUCCGGCCACCUUUUGCCGUGAUUCUUGAGAGGAUUCUGCACUUCUGAGGAUGUAGAUCAUUUCCCCUAAGGUGGAUUGCAUCGAUUUCAUCUGUAGAGAUCGAAUUGGAACGAAUUCAAAACUAGGGUUCUUCGGGUUUCAAACCUUAUAAGGUGAUUGACGGUUUGAGUUAGUGGAUGAUUGUGGAUCGUAUUUUGAGCGGAAUUGAAGACGCAGCGGGAUUAUCGAGCGGGUAAUCCUACAGGACAGGAGAACCAGGACGGUGAUCGUGCGGUUAGAGCAAUUGUUAGAGUUUUACAGCAAUUGUACGUUGUGAGGUGUGUUAUGCUCAUUUGAGCUUUACAAUAUUGCUUGUGAGAGUGAAUUGUAAUAAUGAACUCGAAGUUUCGAGAUUUGGAUUUUGUAAUUGUAAU